rnacentral:tRNA from 1 species
GUGGGGCUGUAGCUCAGUUGGGAGAGCGCGGGCUUUGCAAGCCUGAGGUCGAGGGUUCGAAUCCCUUCACCCACCCCA